GGCUGCCUACACCUAUCAAUACAGCAAGUAACGUCGGCUGGGCCAGGCGGCCCUGCUCCGAGCAUUUGCCCCGAAGGAGACGGCCGCCGCCUCUUUGAUUUGUGCUGCAUCUAGAAGAUCGAAUUUUCUUUUUCUUCGUUCGUUUCUUUCUUUUGCAAAGAAAAACAGUUUUGUAAAAAAAAAAAAAAAAAAAAACCAACAAAACCGGCAAUAGACUCUACUCACCAAGGAACCAAAGCGGUGGAAUGGGGAGGGGGAGAGCUGGACCAGAUCCACUCCGUGCGGACAGACAGAUGGACUGAGGCCUAUUUUAAUAUGAGGAAAACCAAUGUGUUUGGUUUAUUUUAUUUUAUUUUUUUUUGUCCUUGUUUUGAAGAAGCCCUAUUUUCGGGUGGUUGUUGAAGGAAAGAGUUGAACCAGAAGGGUGGAUCUGGCUGUCCCAGAGUGGAGAAGCUGCAGAUUCGAAUCUCUGGCACAAUUGUUCCUCUUGUCGUUUAAGGAUUACUUUUUUGUUCCUUUCUUUUUCUUUUUUUUUUUUUUUUUGGUAAGGAAAAUAUGCAACAAUU